UACGUAGGGGGCAAGCGUUGUCCGGAUUUAUUGGGCGUAAAGAGCUCGUAGGCGGUUUGUCGCGUCUGCUGUGAAAACUCAGGGCUUAACCCUGAGCCUGCAGUGGGUACGGGCAGACUAGAGUGUGGUAGGGGAGAUCGGAAUUCCUGGUGUAGCGGUGGAAUGCGCAGAUAUCAGGAGGAACACCGGUGGCGAAGGCGGAUCUCUGGGCCAUAACUGACGCUGAGGAGCGAAAGCAUGGGGAGCGAACAGG
rnacentral:rRNA from 1 species